ensembl:miRNA
UGUAUUAGGUUAGUGCAAAAGUAAUUGUGGUUUUUGCAUCAAAGUAAUGGCAAAAACCGCAAUUACUUUUGCCCAUAUUACUA